UUUUCUGCAAUAACAAUGCUGAAUCAGCAAAUCACGUUUUGAAGCAUGGCCAAAAUCUAUUGCCUGGAGGCUUUGUCCAGUCCCAUUGUGGGCCACAGUGACAUAGCCAGGACCAUGGAGAGAGACCAUUACUGAGGGGGUGGGGAGGGCAAGUUCCUGGCCAAUCAGAUAUUCCUACAUGACAAAGCUGCUCGUAAAGAUGCAAGUGUGAUGACAAACUCAGGAUGAUGAGACGCAUUUGAUUUUGUUGGAUGGUCCAGAAAGCUGUUUGGAUGGUCUGGAAAGCUGUUUGAAACUUUUAAAUAACCUGAGGAUUUGUACCAACCAGGUGAGGUGGACUUUGACCCCAACAAGGAGAGCUUAUUAGCGGAGCUCCACCUAGCAACCAGCGGUAGCAACAAACCCGGAGUGGAUCAGAUCAUUAUAGACAAUGAGAAACUAAUGCUGGAGAAGAUGAGUGCUGACUCGGCUCUGUUUAAGUCCAAGAGCAAGAAAUCAAAGUGGCUCGACUACCCCCAGUUAUGCGGCCAUUUUUCAGCCUGGCCAAGUGUUGAGGAGAGGCACUGAGAAUGGAGGUAGAGGCCUACUAUGCUACUAAGAAAGAGAGAGGCCUCACGCAACUGGCCACUCGUGCGACUAUGACCAUGUGACUCUUUAACCCCUCAGUUCCCGAGCCCCACCCCUCACUGUCUGACUUGGAAGAGGAGAUAGACUUUGGAUUCUGGGAGAAGGCGUCCACCCUACCCUCGGACAAGACCCCAACCAAGGACCUGAACUUGUUAUGAGACUGUUAAAUAUUAUUAUAUACUAUAUUAUAUUAUUAUAUAUUAAAGUCAUUCAAGGUCAUGCAGCUAUAGUGUGUCUUAUUUGAAGGUGUGCAAUGUACAAUCAUGUACGACCCCCCCCCCCACACACACACACAUUUAGGCCUACUAUGCUGCUAAGAAAGAGAGGGGCCUCACGUAAACUGGCCACUCAGUGUGACUAUGACCAUGUGACUCUUUAACCCCUCAGUUCCCGAGCCCGACCCCUCAAUGUCUGACUCGGAAGAGGAGAUAGACUUUGUAUUCUGGGAGAAGGCGUCCACCCUACCCUCGGACAAGACCCCAACCAAGGACCUGAACUUGUUAUGAGACUGUUAAAUAUUAUUUUGUCUGUUUUUGUACUAUUUUCUGGCAAUGUAAUUAUGUAUGUACCACUUCAUGUCAUCAUAAUAACUAUAAUUAUAUGCGAUA